CCAGUCCUAGGGGUGGACAAGCUUUCAUGAACCGACCGAAAACCGAAGAACCCGUUCUUCCGAAACGCUCUCGGACGGUUUUGAUCGGUUUAUCGGUUUUGUCGGAUGCCUAAAAUGGAUGUAGACGGACAUCAAUGGUCGGGUUCGGUUGAUAAUUUUGUAACCGUCGGUGUCCGAAUCCGACCGAAUAACCAUGGAAUAGGUAUGUUAGGCCCAAUACUUUUGGCCCAAUACUCUUGUUAUUUGAAGAUCCAAACCCAGUUUUUAAGUUGUCAUCAGCAAUUCUCUAUAUAUGUUCCCCCUUCUUAACCCUAGCCGCAACAACCUCACUCUCAUCUCUCUCAAAUCUUAAGAGCAACGGCGCUAAUUUUUUGAAGAAAAUUUUCUUCUGAAUUUUCUUCUGAGUUUUCGUCUCUCACAGCCCACCCUUCUUCAUCUUCACCGUCGUCUGUCCUUCAUUCAUUGUUUUAUUUUUAUUUAUUGAAUCUGUUUAAUGUUACAAGAUGUUGUUCUAGCAUUUUGAAGACAUGAAAAUCUACAAAGGUUUCUAGAUCUGAAAACGUUGCAAGUUGAAGAUGGAAAUGAUUUAGAAAGGAGGUUUAGUGGAGAUGUAAUUCAUUUUAGAUGGAUGUGGUUUAGAGUUUCACUGCAGUUGGCUUCCUCCCCUUUUACGUUCUGUUUUGAUAUGUUUAAAUAGAUAGAUGCAGUGAAAAGUUUAUUGAGUUUUUGUUUGUUUGUAAGGGUCAGCUGUUGCAAUUGUUUUGUUUUAUGUUUCAGGUGUUGCAAGUAUAUCAGAUGAGGAUUGGUUAUCAAUAUUCUUGGACAAACCAUAAAUUUAUGUUGGGCUGUAUUUACAUAUGAAUUUUAUUUGAAUUAAUCUUCUAUUUUUGUAUUAUUAAUGUAUUUUAAUUUAUGGACUUGAAUAGUUGUUUUAA